rnacentral:misc_RNA from 1 species
GAUGAAGAACGUAGCGAAAUGCGAUACGUAAUGUGAAUUGCAGAAUUCAGUGAAUCAUCGAAUCUUUGAACGCAUAUUGCGCUCUCUGGUAUUCCGGAGAGCAUGCUUGUUUGAGUAUCAGUAAACACCUCAACUUCCAUAUCUUUUUUGAAAUGGGAGUUGGACUUGAGUGAUCCCAACGCUUUUCCUCACCGAAAAGUGGCGGGUUACUUGAAAUGCAGGUGCAGCUGGACUUUUCUCUGAGCUAUAAGCAUAUCUAUUUAGUCUGCCUAAAAAACAGAUUAUUACCUUUGCUGCAGCUAACAUAAAGGAGAUUAGUUCUUGUGCUGACUGAUGCAGGAUUCACAAAGACAGGCUUCGGCCGACAUUGUAAACUCGAUCUCAAAUCAAGUAAGACUACCCGCUGAACUUAAGCAUAUCAAUAAGCGGAGGA